CCUACGGGAGGCAGCAGUGGGGAAUAUUGCACAAUGGGGGAAACCCUGAUGCAGCGAAGCCGCGUGAGUGAAGAAGUAAUUCGGUAUGUAAAGCUCUAUCAGCAGGGAAGCAAAUGAUGGUUCCUGUGCAAGAAGCCUCGGCUAACUACGUGACAGCAGCCGCGGGAACACGGAGGGGGCAAGCGUUAUCCGGAUUUACGGGGGGUUAAGGGAGCGUAGACGGCAGUGCAAGUCAGGAGUGAAAGGCGUGGGCACAACCCCCGGACUGCUCUGGAAACUGGACGGCUGGAGUGGGAGAGAGGUAAGCGGAAUGCCUGGUGUAGCGGUGAAAUGCGUAGAUAUUGGGAGGAACACC
rnacentral:rRNA from 1 species